CCUACGGGAGGCAGCAGUGGGGAAUAUUGCACAAUGGAGGAAACUCUGAUGCAGCGACGCCGCGUGAACGAUGAAGGCUUUCGGGUCGUAAAGUUCUGUCCUUGGGGACGAUAAUGACGGUACCCAAGGAGGAAGCCCCGGCUAACUACGUGCCAGCAGCCGCGGUAAUACGUAGGGGGCAAGCGUUGUCCGGAUUUAUUGGGCGUAAAGGGUUCGCAGGUGGCCUUUUAAGUCAGAUGUGAAAGAUCAAGGCUUAACCUUGGUAAGCAUUUGAAACUGAAAGGCUUGAGUUAAGGAGAGGAAAGUGGAAUUCCUAGUGUAGCGGUGAAAUGCGUAGAUAUUAGGAGGAAUACCAGUGGCGAAGACGACUUUCUGGAUUUAUACUGACACUGAGGAACGAAAGCAUGGGGAGCAAACAGGAUUAGAUACCCUGGUAGUCCAUGCCGUAAACGAUGAGUGCUAGGUGUCGGGGGUCAAACCUCGGUGCCGGAGCUAACGCAUUAAGCACUCCGCCUGGGGAGUACGUACGCAAGUAUGAAACUCAAAGGAAUUGACGGGGACCCGCACAAGCAGCGGAGCAUGUGGUUUAAUUCGAAGCAACGCGAAGAACCUUACCAGGACUUGACAUGGUAUUGACCGGUCUAGAGAUAGAUCCUUCCCUUCGGGGACAAUACACACAGGUGGUGCAUGGUUGUCGUCAGCUCGUGUCGUGAGAUGUUGGGUUAAGUCCCGUAACGAGCGCAACCCUUGUCUUUAGUUGCUAACAGGUAAUGCUGAGCACUCUAGAGAGACUGCCGAUGAUAAAUCGGA
rnacentral:rRNA from 1 species